ACACAUUUUAGAGCCUAAUUCAUCUUAAUUAAAAAUCAAAAUUACAUUCAAAUCCAAAUUCAAAACUUUAAUUAUAAAAUUAAUCCUAAAAUAAAUUUAUUGUAAUCCAUUACUACUUAUAAACAACUGCACCUUGAUCUGAUUUAAUAUAAAAUAAAAUUAUAAAAUUAUAUAUUUCAAAAAAUAAUUAACAACGACGAUAUACAAGCAAAAAUAAGUUAUAUUAAUCGUGGACUAUCGAUUAAAGAACAGAUUCCCCUGAUUGGAAUAAAACACCGCCAAAUUCAUUAAUUUUAAAGAACAUAACUUUUACUAAUUAGGUUAAUAACUUUAUAACAUCUAGAAUAAUGGGGUAUCUAAUCCCAGUUUAUAAAUCUAGAUUUCCUAGCUUCAUAAACAAAGAAUUAAAUAUAAAGAAAAUAAGAUUCCACCCAAUAUUUUAUCAAAUAAAAAUAAACUUUUAUUAACUAAAUAUUAAAACCGAAAAAAAAUAAUUGCAUUAUUUGACUAACCGCA
rnacentral:rRNA from 1 species